AUGAUAUUAUCUUAUUUGAAAAUUUAAAGUUUUUUUAGCUACUGUUUGGUUCGGGGUUAAAAAAAAGGUAGUUAUUUAAGGGAUAGAGUUAAGUUCAAGAUUAAGGUGGGGUUAGAGUAAUUUUGUGUUUGAUUGAGAAUCGGAAUUAGUCCAGGAUAAGGUAAAAUAAUGUUUGGUAGAAGUAGAUGGAAUAAGAAGGAUAGUGGGUAAAAAAGUACUUUGUUUGGUUGGAGUAGUGGGAUAGGGUGGGGCCCAAAUGGGCUAUCCCGGAAUAGCCCAUUUGGGGUGGAGUUAACCCAAAUUAGGUAUUUGGAAAUAACUUCGGAAUUAAGGGGUUAUUCUACUCCUUAACUCCGAAUCAAACGGGUGCUUAUGGUUUAUCCACUCCAAACUACUCUAAAUUUUAUAAAUAAAUAUCUUAUUUUUAAAUAUA
rnacentral:lncRNA from 1 species